CCCGCACAAGCGGUGGAGCAUGUGGUUUAAUUCGACGCAACGCGAAGAACCUUACCAGGGCUUGACAUCCCCUGACCGCGUAUGAAAGUACGUUUUCACCUCGGGUGACAGGGAGACAGGUGGUGCAUGGUUGUCGUCAGCUCGUGUCGUGAGAUGUUGGGUUAAGUCCCGCAACGAGCGCAACCCCUACGUUUAGUUGCUAACGCGUGAAGGCGAGCACUCUAGACGAACUGCCGUUGACAAAACGGAGGAAGGUGGGGAUGACGUCAAAUCAUCAUGCCCCUUAUGUUCUGGGCUACACACGUGCUACAAUGGCCGGUACAGACGGACGCAAAGCCGCGAGGUGGAGCAAAUCCUAAAAAGCCGGUCUCAGUUCGGAUUGCAGGCUGCAAUUCGCCUGCAUGAAGUCGGAAUCGCUAGUAAUCGCAGGUCAGCAUACUGCGGUGAAUACGUUCCCGGGCCUU
rnacentral:rRNA from 1 species